UACGGGGGGGGCAAGCGUUGUUCGGAAUUAUUGGGCGUAAAGAGCUCGUAGGCGGUUCCGUAAGUCGGGUGUGAAAAAUCUGGGCUCAACCCAGUGGAGCACCCGAUACUGCGGUGACUCGAGUCCGGUAGGGGAGUGUGGAAUUCCUGGUGUAGCGGUGAAAUGCGCAGAUAUCAGGAGGAACACCGACGGCGAAGGCAGCACUCUGGGCCGGUACUGACGCUGAGGAGCGAAAGCAUGGGGAGCGAACAGG
rnacentral:rRNA from 1 species